UACAGAGGUCUCAACCGUUAUUCGGAAUCAUUGGGCGUAAAGGGUGCGUAGGCGGUCGCGCAAGUCGGAUGUGAAAUCUCAGGGCUCAACCCUGAAACUGCAUUCGAUACUGCGUGGCUAGAGUGCUGGAGAGGAGACUGGAAUUUACGGUGUAGCAGUGAAAUGCGUAGAUAUCGUAAGGAAGACCAGUGGCGAAGGCGAGUCUCUGGACAGCAACUGACGCUGAGGCACGAAGGCCUGGGGAGCAAACGGG
rnacentral:rRNA from 1 species